rnacentral:sRNA from 2 species
GGUUCGAUUCGAGCGAAAGCGAGAAAGCUUUGCCGCAGGCAACGACCCGAAGGGCGAAACGCGCAGCGCUGAGUCAUCCUUCCCCCACCACCA